rnacentral:rRNA from 1 species
AUGUAGCGUGAAGGAUGACUGCCCUAUGGGUUGUAAACUUCUUUUAUAAGGGAAUAAAGUGAGGGACGUGUCCCUUUUUGUAUGUACCUUAUGAAUAAGGAUCGGCUAACUCCGUGCCAGCAGCCGCGGUAAUACAAUAAGCCA